UACGUAGGGUGCGAGCGUUAAUCGGAAUUACUGGGCGUAAAGCGUGCGCAGGCGGCUUUGCAAGACAGAUGUGAAAUCCCCGGGCUCAACCUGGGAACUGCAUUUGUGACUGCAAGGCUAGAGUACGGCAGAGGGGGAUGGAAUUCCGCGUGUAGCAGUGAAAUGCGUAGAUAUGCGGAGGAACACCAAUGGCGAAGGCAAUCCCCUGGGCCUGUACAGACGCUCAUGCACGAAAGCGUGGGGAGCAAACAGG
rnacentral:rRNA from 1 species